rnacentral:tRNA from 1 species
AGUAGAAUGGUUGAGAAAUAAGUGAAGGAUUGUAAAUCUUUUAAGGGGUUAAAACUCUUCUACUA